rnacentral:lncRNA from 1 species
GGUGGAAACAUGCGAUUUAUCUCCAACGGGACCAAGUUUCGCGAGCCCAAAAUCGGAUAACUUCGGGUGAAAUCCUUCUUCCAGUAAUAUGUUGGAGGACUUGAAGUCCCUGUAAAUAACAGGAGGGUUUGCUUUAUCAUGGAGGUACUCCAAACCCUUGGCUGCACCGGCUGCUAUCUUCAUUCUCGUGUUCCAGUCCAACGGUUCCUUACCAGGUGGAAGAUCUGCAAAGAGAUUAACUAAAGAUCAGACUAUAAUCAAGUUUACCACUUCCUGCUAUUUUAAUUUCUGUAUUUAAACAGCACAAAACAAGCAAAAUACAUUGAAGGGCAUAACACCGCAAUCCUUGUGUGCAUCCAUCUGUAUUAACUUAAACCAAAACUCAUCCAACAAUACAUCACCUGUCUCAAACAGAUACAUAAAGCAUAUUGAUUCCAACCAUAAUUAGGCUUAGUUUACGUUGUAGUUGGUUGGAAAACUGUGGAAAACCAAGGUGAAAAGCCACCUUUUUUUUUACGGAAAACUCGGUUUUAGGCUGAAAAUGUUGAGCCUGUCUGGAAUAGCAAUUGUAAGUGCAAACCAGGGUUUUACAGGUCAACCACAACACAAAACUCGGCCUUAAUCAGACACGGUUUAACCGUAAGUUUAAUUUCCAUGUUAAAAAGCAAAGCAAAGGUCAUCUAAGCUCACAUUGAACACCAGGAAGUACAAUAAUGUCACUCUCUCGUAGAUAGCAAAUAUCGAUAGGCAUGGAUAUCUAGAUCAUCUAUACGUUUUAAUUAAAGCUUCUAGCAUGAAUUAUCGAACUACAAAUCAUCUGGAAAAAUCAAACACGAUAACCAUUCCAAUAACUACAUACCCUCAUCAGUGUAUAUAUAUGAUAUAUAUGUAAACCCCACAGCUAAGCAUCUACCAUAUGAGACAAACAGACAAAUAAUAUUUAAAAUCCACAAAUAUGUACCUACCAUGAAAAGUAAACAGAUUAUAAUUACCUGACAGUCUGAAAAAAUAUCAGAGGCAUAGAACUACAUACAGAAAGAAGAGGAAAUAGAACUUAAAUAACUCCCUUUUUCGGACUGUCAGUGACACGUAACGUCAAAGUGUUAUAAAAUAAGAUUUUUAAUGCUCUAAAGCUUGCAGUAGAACCAGUUUGUCUAGAGAAAAUAAAUUAAUGAAAGUAAUCAUAUUAGAGCACCAAAAUAUUACCAUGAAGAUGAUCUUCCAAGGAUCCCAAUGGCAUGAAUUCAUAUACAAGAAGCCGUUGAUCCCCAUCGGCACAAUAACCGAUCAGAUUAACGAGAUUAGGAUGAUGAAGAAGGCUUAGCAUGAGGACCUCGACAAGAAAUUCCCUGUUACCCUGGAGACCAUUUCUGUCCAACUGUUUGACCGCAACUACCUGUAAAGGCAAAAACCAUAUAUCUAAGACACUUAAUGACAUGAAGUCCUACGAGAACCUUCAAUUUGUUCAAUUUCAAAAGAAAACCUAGAGAUCAUCUUUUAAAUCUUGUAUACACAUGUAUGAUUUGGUUACAAGGGAACAAAACAAUUUUCACAGAAAAUUUGUUCUCCAAAUCACAGAGAUAUACUCAGGGGCGAAGGAAGGGGGGGAGGGGGGCAGGCAAGGGCCUUGGCCCCCCUAAAAUGGGAAAAUUAUUCUUUAGAGCCCCCCAAAAUCUAUAAAAUUAUAAGUUAAUACAUGGUACAAUUAUAGUUUGACCCCAAAAAUGAUAAAUUUUUUAUUUAGUCCUAGAAAUUAUAAAGAUAUAAGAAAAUACAAUGAUGAAAUUGCAUUUUAACUAUUUAUAAAAAUAGGUAACUUAAUCUUCCCCUCAAUAAAACUUUUGGCUUCGUCCCUAAAUAUACUUACUAACUAUAGUAUUUCACCUAUUAAGAAUUUAAUGAUAUGUUUGGUAGGAGUAUUAUUUUUUACACAUGUUUUAGUAUUUGUGUUAGCAAUAAACUAAUUCAAUUGGUAAUAUUUAACCACUCUCAUGACUUAUUUUUAGCAAAGAGAAGGAGAAGUUUUCACUUAUUUUGAAGAGGUCUUAUUUUUUACAAGUUAUUACUUAUUUUUCAAAUUUAAAUUUGUACUAACUAUUCUUUAUUUUAUGUCUAACUGUUGAAAUACAUAUGUAAUAAAUAAGCUUUUUCCUCAUGUUAUUACACUAGUAAGCAAACGAGGCAUAAGUCUAACAACAAAAACUGGUGCUGCAAGCAGCAAUUGGAUUUUUCAGACUCAUCUCGCAACUCACCUACGUGAUGAUCACACCUGUUGAGGAUUUAGACCAGAAAUCAACAUUUUAUCAGCAAGACAGACUAUAGCAGGAUGAAUGCUUCUUUAUUUGACCAAAGGAUCAACUAUACUCCGAUAUUAAUCGAUCAUCUAAAUAGAUAUCAUUAGAUCAUAUUAAAGAACUGCAUCCAAGUUCGAUUAUUUAACUUUUAAAUAGAUUUCCACUAAGAUUGAACCAGAUAUGGCCAAUACAUUCUUAAUGACGAUAUUUCCGGCUUUAUUAAUGCUUCACGUACUACAUUAAUAAAUUUUAGAAUCUUAGAUAAAAGCCUCCAACCUCUAAAUAUUAUACAACUUCCAUGUUUCCUUUUGUGGCAUAAAGACAAAUAAAACAAGGUUCGAGGCUCGAACAAAACAAGGGCCGAAGGAAUAAACAAUUACCUGACCAGUACUCUCGAGCUGCCCUUUGUAAACAUGUCCGAAUCCACCUUCACCUAAGAAAGACUCCGGCCUGAAAUUCUUCGUGGCAGCCGCAAGCUCGCGAAAACUAAAAAUAUGGGCAGCAAUUUGGACACCAGGACCAUCCCUGGGACAUGGUAGUUCCCUUUUGGACCCUCCAUUACUCCUCGAUCUAAGCCGGUCCCCUCCUGCCAAAACUCCAUUGAAAUAGACACUAAUUAAAGAUCUAAAGUACCAUUUACAUACAAAGAAACAAUCUACCAACAAAAGAUAUAUGGACUUGCUUAUCAUAUUCUAAAGAAAGCCAAUUUUAGUUUAAGAUAUUAAAUUAAUUCCAAUUUAUCAAUAUCAUCAUUAGAUCCUAAUUACAUCAAAACAAAAACAACCCAAACUUUAAAUCUCUAAAAAAAUUUUAAAAAGUCAUCAUUAUAUUCUAAAGUAAGCUAAUUUUAGUUUAAGAUAUUGAAUAAAUUCCGAUUUAUCAAUAUCAUCAUUAGAUCCUAAUUACAUUUUAAAAAAAACCACCCAAACUUUAAAUCUCUAAAAACAUCCAUGGGGUUAAAUAAAAAAAAUAACAAUGAUAAAAUUUUACAACAAAAAAAAAGCAUAUCAUCAUCUAAACAUUGAAAUAAUAAGAAAAAAAAAACAGAGAAAACCCAGAUCAGAUCAAAUGAAUAAAGUAAUUAAUUUUCUUUCUUUUUUUUAAUUAAAAGCUAACCUGAUGACAAGCUGGAAAUAUUAGAGGAAACAGUAGGUUGGGCUUGCUUUGGAUCAUUGCUUUCAUUUACAGUAUUUAACUUCUCUUCUUCCUUCGAAUCGAAACAAGGAAAACAACCCAUCCCUUAAAAGAAAAUUUCAAAACGAACCCAGAAAUCAAAUUUCCUUAAAAUUCCUAAAAAUUAUAUCAGAUUUACUGUUAACUUGGCAUACCCAAUACUUUUUUUUUUUACAAAAAUUCAAAAUAAAAAGUUACAAAAAUUUUGGGCACCCUCGAUUCUAUGCCUUUAAACGAUCAAAUCAUUGAAAAAUAAAGGAUUCAAUGAACGUAAUUAAAAAUUAUGAAAGGGUUUAAUAAAAAAUAUUUGAAAGUAAAAGAGAAAUUUUUGAAGCAAAAUAGAAGAAGAAGACGAAGAAGAAGCCGGCUUUGGGUUACUGUAUAUUAUGUAUUAAAAAAAUUUUAUAACUACCACUAAACUCUCUUCCUUUUGACCAUAUAGAGUGAAAACUUGGAUAAAAUAAAGCGUAAAUCACAGCCAUGGCGAUUCUACAAUUGGAUUUGUUCUAUUUUAGUCACUUUAAAUUUUUCCUUCAAUUUAGUCACUCUAAUUAAAAUAAGGUAAAAUGGCCUCUCCAGUCCCUAUCAAUUGCAAUUCUGAGAAAAUUAAUCCCUCUAAAAAACUUAGAACAAUUUAAUCCUUAUCAAUUUUAAAAGUGAGCAAUUAAGGACAAUUGUGAAUAAGUUUGAUUGGUAUAAUAAUAAAUUUAGCACUUGAUGUUUACAUAUUUUGUUAAUUUGGUCUUGAUUCUAAAAAAUUCAACAAAUUUAGCCUCAACGUUUACACAUUUACAAAAAGAUUGCGGGCUAAAUUUGUUAAAUCAUGACUAAAUUGAUAGAAUGUUUAAAUUAUGAUAGCUAAAUUUGUUACUAUACCAGUCAAAUUUAUGUAAAAUUGAUGAAAAUAUUAAUGUUGUGGUUAAUUGUCCUUAGUUGCUCACUUUUGAAAUUGAUAAUAAUUAAAUUACUUCGAAUUUUUUGAGAGGGACCAAUUUGCUCAAUAUCAAAAUUGAGAGAGACUAAAGAGAUUUUUUUUUUACUUUAAAAUAAUUAUGCAAAAUAGUUAAAAUUUUCGUUUUCCUUUUACGGCUUAAAAAAAAUUCUCGUUGUUUCCUUUUCACUUUUCGAUUCCCUCCUCUUUUUCCUCUUUUGAAUGGCUUGGUUGCAGAUGUGGUCUUUGAGCUCAUGGUAAGUUGCAAGAACGGCGAUAGCUUCUUAGCCAAAAUGGAAGAAAACGCCGUCCGUUGAGUCGCUUCCGAGCUUGAUGUCAUCGAAGCUCUCUCUCAUUUCUCUCGUCUAAAAAAAAUAGUGGGCUAUGUGUUAUCACCAUUUCAAACGAUACUUGCCAUUUCAAGCUAAUUUAGUUGUUUAGCAAAACCUAAAACACCAAACAUUCUCCCAGCUUCACCAUCUCAACUAAAGUAACAUUUGAUUUUUGGGUAAAUUCUUAAUAAACAUAUUAUUUAAUUAUUUUCGCCCACAUCUUAGGAAUAUCAUAAUCUCAUUGAUAAUGUCGUUAACUGAGUUAGUGUCAUAAGUUAACUCGAUAUCAAUUCAAGAAAAAUAACAAAAUUAUGAUAAACUAUUGGAGUACAUUUAAUAUUCUUAAUAUAAUAUAUUUACUCACAGUUUAAACUGGUCAUAUUGUAUAUAUCGUAUUAUUAUUAGCUUCAAAUAUUACAUUUCAUUAUUUAUUAUAUGUUAUUUAUACAUGCAUCUAUAUAUUCUAAAUACUUAGUUCCCAUGCGCAUAGCUUGUGAUAGAAUUUUUAAUAUUAUUUAUUUAUUUUAAUUAAAAUUAACAUUUUUAAUUCUUUUUAGUAUUAUAUUAUAAUCAUUUUACUGACUCGCAAUGCCUUGAAAUCGAAAUGCACAAGUUUAGUAUACAUAUAAUUAUUAUAUUUUUUUUUGUUUGUUAAUAAUAAUUUAUUUUUCUAAUAAAAAUCCUUUUAACAGCUUUAAAUUAAAUGAUUAUUAUAUUUAUGUUAUUUCAAAAGUUACCAAUUUUUUGUUAUAAUUUAUAUAAAGGAUCGAUAAAGAAAAUUGUCUAUUUGUUUUAAGUUUAUAGAAACAUAGUCAAUCAUUAUAAUUUAUAUAAAGGGACCUGAAUGGGAGUUCAAGAAUAUGUCAGCAUCUAAGUCCUUGCACUUUGUCUCCGCAUCAAGGCCGAUCGGGCCGAGCUUUUUGGAUAGAACGAGCUGAAGAGAGCUCGGAAAUGUUUGUUUUUUUUUUUUUUCAUCUGGUUCAAGUGAGAAAUCUGGAUAAACAUUGAUAGAAGAAAAUCGGGAUGUUAGCCGUUUGAACCAUCGGAACUACCUUGUGCGCUUUGUCGUCUUUUCUCUCGCCAAUUCUCCCCCCACAUCUUGGCUUCAGCUACAGCUCGUUCCCUAUCCAAAUCCCUGUUCAACAUCCUGGCUGUUUCUCUAGGGGAGUCCUCUUUCUCGGACCCUUCUAAAUCCCACUUACGGCCGGAUACUCCUCCUUCGUCGUUCUUCGAUACCCUUCCUCCUCUGUCGUCUCGGUAUCUUUUUUCAUCGGUUUCUCCAGAGCCUCUAUGGCCAUUCCCCGUUGUAUUAGGAUCGUAUGCUUGAUUUGCUAAAUACGAGAGAGCUGUGACCACAUCACCGAUAAGAGGACGUGUGGCGGCCUCCUCUUGAAUACACAUAGAUGCCACAGCUAGAGCUUGGUAGAGACCUCGCAUUGGAAACCGUCCUUGCAAUAGCGGAUCUGCCAAUUUUGACAAUUUGCGACGGUUAUUGAACAAUGGACGUGCCUGUAUAUACAAAACCACGAGAAAAAAAAGAACCUCGAUUAUUAAGUAGUCUUAGCCAAUACUACAACAUGAUAGUUAGGCAACCAAACUACAAAAACAUUUCGAAUGUGUUACCCAUGUUAUAAGAUUCUGUUCACCAUGGGGUUGAGAGCUGUCGAUAGCUUUCCUACCUGUAAUUAGCUCUAAGAAGACAACCCCGAAACUAUAAACAUCAGAUUUCACCGUCAAUUGACCAGUCAUGGCAUACUCAGGAGCACAAUAACCAUAUGUGCCCAUAACCCUGGUGGAAACAUGCGAUUUAUCUCCAACGGGACCAAGUUUCGCGAGCCCAAAAUCGGAUAACUUCGGGUGAAAUCCUUCUUCCAGUAAUAUGUUGGAGGACUUGAAGUCCCUGUAAAUAACAGGAGGGUUUGCUUUAUCAUGGAGGUACUCCAAACCCUUAGCUGCACCGGCUGCUAUCUUCAUUCUCGUGUUCCAGUCCAACGGUUCCUUACUGGGUGGA